rnacentral:rRNA from 1 species
UACGUAGGGGCAAGCGUUGUCCGGAAUCAUUGGCGUAAGCGCGUGUAGGCGGCCCGGUAAGUCCGCUGUGAAAGUCGGGGGCUCAACCCUCGAAUGCCGGUGGAUACUGUCGGGCUAGAGUGCGGGAGAGGCGAGUGGAAUUCCUGGUGUAGCGGUGAAAUGCGCAGAUAUCAGGAAGAACACCUAUGGCGAAGGCAGCUCUCUGGGACGGUACUGACGCUGAGACGCGAAAGCGUGGGAGCGAACAGG